GCCGGCUCUCGGCCUGCAAGCAGCAGUGACUGAGGCCUACAGGUGGGCAAGGGCCAGGAUCCAGAGUCAUGUUUGGUGUUCACAGUGGGCGUCUGCUAUGCGCCUAGCUCCUUCCCAAGGGCAGGGCUGCAGGGGGUGAGGCCACAGCCCUUACCGACUAUGUGCACAAAGGACCUUUCUGCUCUGGAGUGGCCAGUACCUGGGGCCUGGUGCUAAGUGGCCACCCAUUCUACCAACAGUGUGUCGCCAGGAUCUUUGGGCAGGUGUCCCGGCAAUACUGAUUCCGGGCCUGUCUGUCCACAUACUUCUGGACAUUGGAGCCGAGGGCAGACCUGCCACCCCAGAAGCACUUUAUGUCGAGACCACUGGUCGGCCUCGCCUGCAUGCCGCCCUGCGAGCCUCGCUGUCUUUGGGUUGGUUUUUUUUUUCCUUUUUUUUUUUUUUUUUUUUUUUUUUUUUAAAUAAAACAGGAGGAUUUGAGCUGUGGCUAUGAGGAUGUUUGGAAAUAGGGAGCAGGCGGGGCACAGGGUGGCCUGCAGAGAAAACCCAGAGCGAACAAAUAUGCAGAGACAUUUAUGAUCAACCAGACAACACGACCAACCACAGGGCGCAGGGCAGGGAGUGGGCAGGCACUCAUGGCGAGGCUGCCCAAUCUUUUGGCAAUAAAUAAAGCUUGGGAAACUUGAAGCUGCCACCGGGCUGUUCUGUCUCUGUGUUUAAAGCCCAAAGCUCGUGGGGAGGGAUGGGACAGGCUGGAGCCUGUGCACAUGCAGAGAGCGAGCAGGCGCAGUCGGUUAUUGCUCAGAGAGGAAAGGUACAGUUGCUACAAAGUGCAUACCAUGGACAGGGGAAAGGAUUAAGGAUCUGGGGCGCGUGUUCCUCUCUGAUCCUCAGUGCCCCGCAGUCACUUCCCCUCCAGUAGGUUCACGCAUGCAGUGGCACUGCCAGCACGUGCUCACGAGUGUGGAGGUUCGGCUGAUCCUGGAGGGAGGCUGCACGCGCACCUCAGAACCUGCUCCACCCGCAUCUGUGGCCAGAGGCUGGGUGCCGGGGGUCAACCGUAUAUGGACUUGAGAAUCCAAGAUCUUCAUCCUCCCUGCAGCUGAGCCUGGGUCCGGAGGCCUUGUGCAUCCGGAGGCCCACUGCACCCUGCUAAGUGCCCGAGGGGACACUCCUUGUACACACUUGGGAUUUGGGCCGCGUACCCAUGCACAGCAACCUCAGGUUGCUCCCGCUGUCGCCACCAUUCCCACAGCGGCCCCACGUGCCGCCGGCAAAGCAGCCGAGAGGCAGGUCCAGUACACAGAGCUUAGGCUGGGCUGUGGUCAGGGGAUGUAGGGGCGGCAGCAGCGACAAUCAGCACCGGGGAUGAGGCAACUGGCUCAGCAAGACGGGGAGAGAAGAGUCUCUCGUCGAGGCUAGCUGCUAGUUUGUCCAGCAGUGCCCCGGCGGGC
rnacentral:lncRNA from 1 species